rnacentral:lncRNA from 1 species
ACCAAUUAAAUAACCAUGAGUCCACUUAGGCUUAGCCUUUGUAACCUUUUGCCUUAGACACCAAUUUCAAGGGUGAGUCCAAACUUACUUUGCACUUGACUUCACCAUAAUACUCUAAAUGAACUCAAUUGAUCCUAGGGGUCAAUGUCUACUGAAUUUUAAUUAGGCUUGGGUUAAUGAUGGAUGCUGGUUGGUUAUUUUUGGGCUA